AUAUAAAUGUUAACAAAAAUUAUGCUCGAUAUUUGUUUAACAGACAACAAAUUUCCUAAAUCGAAAACUUUCUAUAAUGCCGUAAUUUCUGAUCAAAAGGUUUUUAUAAAGAGAUAAACGAAAUAAAUUCGAACUAAAGAAAAGAAA